UACAGAGCCCCAAGCGUUAGGCGGAAUCACUGGGCUUAAAGCGUGUGUAGGCGGGAUGGUAAGUACUUUGUGAAAUCCCACGGCUUAACUGUGGAACUGCUUAGUAUACUGCCGUUCUUGAGUCAUUUAGGGGCAGCCGGAACAGAUGGUGGAGCGGUGAAAUGCGUAGAUAUCGGGAGGAACACCAACGGCGAAAGCACUCUGCUGGGCCGACACUGACACUGAGAGACGAAAGCUAGGGGAGCGAAUGGG
rnacentral:rRNA from 1 species